rnacentral:rRNA from 1 species
AGUCCCGCAAGGGAUUAGUAGAGUGGCAAACGGGUGAGUAACACGUGGGUGACCUGCCUUCGAGCGGGGGAUAACGUUCCGAAAGGAACGCUAAUACCGCAUAACAUCCUGUCUUUUAAGAGAUGGUGAUCAAAGCCGGGGAUUCGCAAGAACCUGGCACUUGAAGAGGGGCCCGCGCCUGAUUAGCUAGUUGGUGGGGUAAUGGCCUACCAAGGCAACGAUCAGUAUCCGGCCUGAGAGGGCGGACGGACACACUGGGACUGAGACACGGCCCAGACUCCUACGGGAGGCAGCAGUGGGGAAUUGUUCGCAAUGGGCGCAAGCCUGACGACGCAACGCCGCGUGGAGGAUGAAGACCUUUGGGUCGUAAACUCCUUUCGAUCGAGACGAAUGUUUUUCGGGUGAACAAUCCGGAAAAGUGACGGUACCGAGAGAAGAAGCCCCGGCUAACUCUGUGCCAGCAGCCGCGGUAAUACAGGGGGGGCAAGCGUUGUUCGGAAUUACUGGGCGUAAAGGGCUCGUAGGUGGCCAACUAAGUCAGACGUGAAAUCCCUCAGCUUAACUGGGGAACUGCGUCUGAUACUGGAUGGCUUGAGUUUGGGAGAGGGAUGCGGAAUUCCAGGUGUAGCGGUGAAAUGCGUAGAUAUCUGGAGGAACACCGGUGGCGAAGGCGGCAUCCUGGACCAACACUGACACUGAGGAGCGAAAGCCAGGGGAGCAAACGGGAUUAGAUACCCCGGUAGUCCUGGCCCUAAACGAUGAAUGCUUGGUGUGGCGGGUAUCGAUCCCUGCCGUGCCGAAGCUAACGCAUUAAGCAUUCCGUCUGGGGAGUACGGUCGCAAGGCUG